rnacentral:rRNA from 2 species
GAUUGGUGCUUGCAUCAUGAUUUACAUUUGAGUGAGUGGCGAACUGGUGAGUAACGCGUGGGAAACCUGCCCAGAAGCGGGGGAUAACACCUGGAAACAGAUGCUAAUACCGCAUAACAACUUGGACCGCAUGGUCCGAGUUUGAAAGAUGGCUUCGGCUAUCACUUUUGGAUGGUCCCGCGGCGUAUUAGCUAGAUGGUGGGGUAACGGCUCACCAUGGCAAUGAUACGUAGCCGACCUGAGAGGGUAAUCGGCCACAUUGGGACUGAGACACGGCCCAAACUCCUACGGGAGGCAGCAGUAGGGAAUCUUCCACAAUGGACGAAAGUCUGAUGGAGCAACGCCGCGUGAGUGAAGAAGGGUUUCGGCUCGUAAAACUCUGUUGUUAAAGAAGAACAUAUCUGAGAGUAACUGUUCAGGUAUUGACGGUAUUUAACCAGAAAGCCACGGCUAACUACGUGCCAGCAGCCGCGGUAAUACGUAGGUGGCAAGCGUUGUCCGGAUUUAUUGGGCGUAAAGCGAGCGCAGGCGGUUUUUUAAGUCUGAUGUGAAAGCCUUCGGCUCAACCGAAGAAGUGCAUCGGAAACUGGGAAACUUGAGUGCAGAAGAGGACAGUGGAACUCCAUGUGUAGCGGGUGAAAUGCGGUAGAUAUAUGGGAAGAACACCCAGUGGCAGAAGGCGGGCUGUCUGGGUCUGUAACUGACGCCUGAGGCUCCAAAAGUAUGGGGUAGCAAACAAGGAUUAAAUAC